UAAGGAAUAUUGCGCAAUGGGCGAAAGCCUGACGCAGCGACGCCGCGUGGGGGAUGAAGGUCUUCGGAUUGUAAACCCCUUUCGGGAGGGAAGAUGGAAUGGGGUAACCCAUUUGGACGGUACCUCCAGAAGCAGCCACGGCUAACUUCGUGCCAGCAGCCGCGGUAAUACGAAGGUGGCAAGCGUUGUUCGGAUUUACUGGGCGUACAGGGAGCGUAGGCGGUUCGGUAAGCCCUUUGUGAAAUCUCCAGGCUUAACCUGGAAAAGUCGGAAGGGACUGCCGGGCUAGAGGACGGGAGAGGAGCGCGGAAUUCCCGGUGUAGCGGUGAAAUGCGUAGAGAUCGGGAGGAAGGCCGGUGGCGAAGGCGGCGCUCUGGAACGUUUCUGGCGCCGAGGCUCGAAAGCGUGGGGAGCAAACAGGAUUAGAUACCCUGGUAGUCCACGCCUUAAACUAUGAAUACUAAGUGUCGGCGGGUUACCGCCGGUGCCGCAGCUAACGCAUUAAGUAUUCCGCCUGGGAAGUACGGCCGCAAGGUUGAAACUC
rnacentral:rRNA from 1 species